rnacentral:rRNA from 1 species
UACAGAGGUCUCAAGCGUUGUUCGGAUUCAUUGGGCGUAAAGCGCGCGUAGGCGGUUACUUAAGUUGGAUGUGAAAGCCCUCGGCUUAACCGAGGAAGUGCAUCCAAAACUGAGUAGCUAGAGUACGAAAGAGGGUCGCGGAAUUCCCGGUGUAGAGGUGAAAUUCGUAGAUAUACGGGAGGAACACCGGUGGCGAAGGCGGCGACCUGGGUCGAGACUGACGCUGAGGCGCGAAAGCGUGGGGAGCAAACAGG